AGUGAUUCAACCGCGCCACCGAGCGCGGAGCUGCCCUGGAGGACGCAGGCGGGUCUAGUUGCCCGGGUCCCCCAAGGCCCCCGGAUUCACCCAGGCCCGCGACUCCGACGUGCAGCUUAGGUGGGUUGCAGGUCUAUGGCAGGAAAGGGAGGGCGCCUUGGAAGAAUUCUUCCCUUCCAUUUGGUGAUAAAGUGGGAGAGGCGGCAUUUACAACAUUUAAUAGAAAGCACGGGCUCUGGGCUCCCCUCGGGCAGCGGAGGGCAUUUCCCGGAUGCUUUGCCCACCUGGGGCAGAAGCUCGGGACCUGCAGCGAAGUAAACGUGUGGCUGUGAGCAGGGCCCUCUCCCAGCCACGGUGGCUUCUUCUACCCCACGAAGGUCAAGAAUACCUGGCCUGCCCACCUCGCGGGGCCCUUAGCGGGUCGCACAGGAGAAAGGCGGUGGGAAUGCCGGUGUCAGCCACGGUGUGACCGGCUCGGCUCACAGGUCUGAGGGUCAGUUGGCUCAGGCAUCGCCCGGUACGACCAGAGAUAGUGACUGAGGAAGAGCAGCCUCACAUCUGGCAGUUUGCCUCUGGGAGAAUUCCAGCGUGACAUCUGCAGCUCUGUGGUUCCAGAAAGGAUGGUUCCCACAUUGAAGAAGACAUCUGUGGGACUGAGUUCCACCGAAAUGCAGAGGAACCAAAAAUGAAAAUGAAAAAUGUAACCAGAGUUGUGUGCCACUAGUUUUAAGCUUUGGUUUUUCUAAAUUAUUUUCUGGCUUCUCCUUCUGGGCUUUGCUGUAAACUUGCCAAGCAUGAGAACAACUCUUCAUCUAUUGAGUGGCAUUUUAAGCCAUCCUGUCAAAGUAUCUCCUGUCAUUUUUAUUAUUAUUACUCUAUAUUGCCUGCAAGACACGACUGGAGAAUUCUUAGUGUAAGAAUUGUUUGUUUCCUCUCUCCUUCUUUCCCACGUUUUCCCAGGGAAGUCAGUCUUGCAUUUUAAUGCAUACUAUAUACAUAUCUCGUUUAGCUUACUGAACCACUUGUUUUAACAGAAUAAAACUGUGCAAAAUUUUAA
rnacentral:lncRNA from 10 species